UACGUAGGGGGCUAGCGUUGUCCGGAUUUAUUGGGCGUAAAGAGCGUGUAGGCGGCCAGGUAGGUCAGCUGUGAAAACUCGAGGCUCAACCUCGAGACGUCGGUUGAAACCAUCUGGCUAGAGUCCGGAAGAGGAGAGUGGAAUUCCUGGUGUAGCGGUGAAAUGCGCAGAUAUCAGGAAGAACACCCGUGGCGAAGGCGGCUCUCUGGGACGGUACUGACGCUGAGACGCGAAAGCGUGGGGAGCGAACAGG
rnacentral:rRNA from 1 species